rnacentral:rRNA from 1 species
AACACGUGGGCAACCUGCCUGUAAGACUGGGAUAACUUCCGGAAACCGGAACUAAUACCGGAUAAUGCUUUUGGACUCCUGUCCUUAAGCUGAAAGAUGGUUUCGGCUAUCACUUACAGAUGGGCCCGCGGCGCAUUAACUAGUUGGUGAGGUAACGGCUCACCAAGGCAACGAUGCGUAGCCCACCUGAAAGGGUGAUCGGCCACCCUGGGACUGAAACCCGGCCCAAACUCCUACGGGAGGCAGCAGUAGGGAAUCUUCCGCAAUGGACGAAAGUCUGACGGAACAACGCCGCGUGAGUGAUGAAGGUUUUCGGAUCGUAAAACUCUGUUGUUAGGGAAAAACAAGUAUCGGAAUAACUGCCGGUACCUUGACGGUACCUAACCAAAAAGCCCCGGCUAACUACUUGCCAGCGGCCGCGGUAAUACGUAGGUGGCAAGCGUUGUCCGGAAUUAUUGGGCGUAAAGCGCGCGCAGGCGGUCCUUUAAGUCUGAUGUGAAAGCCCACGGCUCAACCGUGGAGGGUCAUUGGAAA